rnacentral:rRNA from 1 species
GUCUUUUUGUGUUGAAUUUAAAGUCUAACCUGCCCAUUGAAAUAACUUUAAAAGGCUGCGGUAUUUUGACCGUACAAAGGUAGCAUAAUCAUUAGUUUUUUAAUUGAAAACUUGUAUGAAUGGUUGAAUGAGAAAUUAACUUUUUUAUUUAAAAUAUUGAAUUUUAAUUUUUAGUUAAAAUGCUUAAAUAAGCUUAAAAGACGAGAAGACCCUAUAGAGUUUAAUAAUCUAUUUAUAUUAUUACAAAGGUUUAUAUUUAUUAAUAUAUAAAAAAUUAUUUUAUUGGGGUGAUAAUAAAAUUUGUAUAACUUUUAUUUUACUUAUUAAACAUUAAUAUAUGACUAUUUGAUCCAAUUUUAUUGAUUAAAAAUUUAAAUUACCUUAGGGAUAACAGCGUAAUUUUUUUUUAAGUUCUUAUUAAUAAAAAAUUUUGCGACCUCGAUGUUGGAUUAAGAUUAAAUUUUAGGUGCAGCAGCUUAAAUUUUAAGUCUGUUCGACUUUUAAAUUCUU